rnacentral:rRNA from 1 species
UACAGAGGUCUCAAGCGUUGUUCGGAUUCAUUGGGCGUAAAGGGUGUGUAGGUGGCGCGCUAAGUCGGGUGUGAAAUUUCGGAGCUUAACUCCGAAACUGCAUUCGAUACUGCCGUGCUUGAGGACUGGAGAGGAGACUGGAAUUUACGGUGUAGCGGUGAAAUGCGUAGAUAUCGUAAGGAAGACCAGUGGCGAAGGCGGCUCACUGGUCCGGUACUGACGCUGAUGUGCGAAAGCGUGGGGAGCAAACAG